UUUUCAUGCAUCAAAGCUCGUUAAGACUAGAUGGGGGAUCCCUACAUAGCGGGUGGGACCCACAGCGAAUGGUUCAUCAAUUCUUCAAAAAAGAAUAUAUACGAUUGCAUUGCAUAUACUAACGGAUGCGAUCAUACCAGCACUAAUGCACCGGAUCCCAUCAGAACUCCGCAGUUAAGCGUGCUUGGGCGAGAGUAGUACUAGGAUGGGUGACCUCCCGGGAAGUCCUCGUGUUGCAUCCCUCUUUUAUGUUUAACCUUUUUUUUUUUGGUUAAAACUUUAUGACUCCAUAACUUCUACACCGA
rnacentral:rRNA from 1 species